rnacentral:rRNA from 1 species
GGAAUUUUCCGCAAUGGGCGAAAGCCUGACGGAGCAAUCUCGCGUGAGGGAUGACGGCCUAUGGGUUGUAAACCUCUUUUUUCAGGGAGGAAUAAAUGACGUGUACCUGAAGAAUAAGCAUCGGCUAACUCCGUGCCAGCAGCCGCGGUAAGACGGAGGAUGCAAGUGUUAUCCGGAAUCACUGGGCGUAAAGCGUCUGUAGGUGGUUUAAUAAGUCAACUGUUAAAUCUUGAAGCUCAACUUCAAAAUCGCAGUCGAAACUAUUAGACUAGAGUAUAGUAGGGGUAAAGGGAAUUUCCAGUGGAGCGGUGAAAUGCGUAGAGAUUGGAAAGAACACCGAUGGCGAAGGCACUUUACUGGGCUAUUACUAACACUCAGAGACGAAAGCUAGGGUAGCAAAUGGGAUUAGAUACCCCUGUAGUC